rnacentral:rRNA from 1 species
GAUGAACGCUAGCUACAGGCUUAACACAUGCAAGUCGAGGGGUAACAAGAGAAAAGCUUGCUCUUCUUGUUGACGACCGGCGCACGGGUGAGUAACGCGUAUCCAACCUGCCUAUAACUAGGGAAUAACCUUGCGAAAGUAAGACUAAUACCCUAUGAUUUCCUUUGAUGACAUCAGAUUAGGAAUAAAGAUUUAUCGGUUAUAGAUGGGGAUGCGUCUGAUUAGCUUGUUGGCGGGGUAACGGCCCACCAAGGCAACGAUCAGUAGGGGUUCUGAGAGGAAGGUCCCCCACAUUGGAACUGAGACAUGGUCCAAACUCCUACGGGAGGCAGCAGUGAGGAAUAUUGGUCAAUGGGCGGAAGCCUGAACCAGCCAAGUAGCGUGCAGGAUGACGGCCCUAUGGGUUGUAAACUGCUUUUAUACAGGAAUAAAGUUAGCCACGUGUGGUUAUUUGUAGGUACUGUAUGAAUAAGGACCGGCUAAUUCCGUGCCAGCCGCCGCGGUAA